ensembl:ncRNA Y57G11A.226 ncRNA
AUGAAUGACUUGCGGGCUUCGGCGGCGGCUGGAAUUUGGAAUUUUUAUCUUCGCUCGACGACUUGCUCAUCGUUGUCGCCACGCUCCUUGAAACGGUCUUUCACUGAGACUCCACCCUGA